rnacentral:rRNA from 1 species
CUUUGACCUCAAAUCAGGUAGGAUUACCCGCUGAACUUAA